GAGGUGACAGCUUCGACAACACUCUCAGCGUCUUCUUCUUCUUCUUUUGCUUCUCUUUCUUCUUCUUCCUCACCGGUACAGAUCGCUGACACCUUGGCAAGCGGUGUUAUGCCUGGAAUUGAGUAAGAGGCUUGGUAAACACCUGGGUCAUAUGCCAAAACUAAUAUUGACACGGGACCGAGGGCGGUGUCGAAAAACAAGGCCGGAUUUGUGGGGACGUGCUGGGCCGUGUGCGCCGGCGGUGUAAGCGAGACUGCAGAGUUGCUCACCUGAGCGGGCCGAACCCAUAACGAGGAAAAACGAGACUCACCUGAGCGCUUAUAGCAUGACCAAGGAGACGAGGCUCACAGCAGAACCAGGUGACCCUUGGUGCAGGAGGUGAAAGGCCUGUGGGAGAGGCUGAGGGGACAUUUCUUAGCCUUCUGAAAAACACAUUGACGCGCGGGGCCGUCAACGACGUGCACAGACCACAGCCAUCGGCGAAAAAUGUAUAAAGCCCCACCAGAGCAGCGGACUGGUUAUCUGAGACUACACUCUGGUGAAACCAUAGCCACCGGCUCCCAUGGUCCGUCAUUCACCCAGGCAGAAAACGGCUGGAUGACUGCGAGGUUGCUAAGCUACG